rnacentral:rRNA from 1 species
GAUGAACGCUGUCUACAGGCUUAACACAUGCAAGUCGAGGGGAAACGACAGGGAAGCUUGCUUCCCCGGGCGUCGACCGGCGCACGGGUGAGUAACGCGUAUCCAACCUGCCUCUGACUGAGGGAUAACCCGUCGAAAGUCGGCCUAAUACCUCAUGGCAUCGUCUGCGGGCAUCCAACGACGAUUAAAGAUUUCAUCGGUCAGGGAUGGGGAUGCGUCUGAUUAGCUUGUUGGCGGGGUAACGGCCCACCAAGGCUACGAUCAGUAGGGGUUCUGAGAGGAAGGUCCCCCACAUUGGAACUGAGACACGGUCCAAACUCCUACGGGAGGCAGCAGUGAGGAAUAUUGGUCAAUGGGCGGGAGCCUGAACCAGCCAAGUAGCGUGCAGGAGGACGGCCCUAUGGGUUGUAAACUGCUUUUAUGCGGGGAUAAAGUGAGGGACGUGUCCUUCAUUGCAGGUACCGCAUGAAUAAGGACCGGCUAAUUCCGUG